GGUGGAUAGGUGAAUUCUUUGGUAUUUGUGGCUAAUUUCUAUCUCUACUUUUGCUACUUGAGGAUAAAUCUCUCUUUUAAUCUUGGAACUUUUCAUGGGAAAACAUGGGCUAUAUUUUUUAUUUUUUUACAGGGAGGCGGGCAUCUAGUACCCAUUGUUUUAAUUACUAGGACACUUGUCCAUCUUUUACUCCCUUUUCUUCUUUUAUAUUUUUGCGUAGCCACAUGUAUCCUUUGAAUACAAUAAAUAAUCAGAGAGGUAAUAACAAGAACUUAGGGUAUUUAUGAAGGGCUUUAUCCUAUGGGUAUGGUUUAUGUUGUUGUUUACUCCCAGUGUAGGGGAAAAACAUGAUUGGUGAACAUGGAAUUGAAAUGAUUGCGAUUACUCCUAGUGUGGGAAUAAUGCAUAUGUGAACUGGAUUGUGUAUGUGAUCUUGAUUGAACUCAAUGCAAAGCAAGCAGCAUAAAUGUGCAAAAGUUUUCCUAUCUCUAAAUGUAUAUUAUAUAUGGCUUUGGUAGGAAUUCAAACUUGUCAUACAAGAGCUCAUCAUGUAAAUUUUAAAUUUUCGAAAUAAAUCUCUAGAACUUAAUAAUGCUAGGAAUAAGAUAAAUAGCAGCUCAGACUUUCAAUGAUUAUAUCAACCAACU
rnacentral:lncRNA from 1 species